CCUACGGGAGGCUGCAGUAGGGAAUAUUGCUCAAUGGGGGAAACCCUGAAGCAGCAACGCCGCGUGGAGGAUGAAGGUUUUCGGAUUGUAAACUCCUUUUGUUAGAGAAGAUAAUGGCGGUAUCUAACGAAUAAUCACCGGCUAACUCCGUUCCAGCCGCCGCGGUAAUACGGAGGAUGCGAGCGUUAUCCGGAUUUAUUGGGGUUAAGGGGUGCGCAGGCGGCGAGUUAAGUCAGCGUUAAAAUUUCGGGGCUCAACCCCGACGAGCCGUUGAAACUGGCUGGCUUGAGUGGGAGAGAAGUAGGCGGAAUGCGUGGUGUAGCGGUGAAAUGCAUAGAUAUCACGAAGAACUCCGAUUGCGAAGGCAGCAUACUGGAGUGCAACUGACGCUCAGGCACGAAAGCGUGGGUAUCGAACAGGAUUAGAUACCCUAGUAGUC
rnacentral:rRNA from 1 species